GAAACCAGGCUGGAAAAUCCGCCGGCGGAUUGCUGCUGACAGGAUUUUCCAGCCGGAGCGCUGAAAGUAAAGGACGAAGGACAGAUGCCGAGAGGGAGAAGGCCACCACGGGUCAGCAGCUGAUGGUCAAGCUUGAAAAGGACUGUAAAGGAUGAACAACACAACCUUAUGCUCUUCAGACCACAGAGCAGCUCACUUUUGAUCUCUUUAAAACCUACACACUUGUGCUCUCUUACAGA
rnacentral:lncRNA from 1 species